AAGAUUCCCUGAAGAAGGGAUAGGCUACCCACGCCAGUAUUCUUGGGCUUCCCUGGUGGCUCAGCUGGUAAAGAAUCCGCCUGCAAUGUGGGAGACCUGGGUUCAAUCCCUGGGUUGGGAAGAUCCCCUGGUGAAGGGAAAGGCUACCCACUCCA